UUUCAGCAAUAGAUGGAUGUUAAUAGACUAUACGGCCCAAAAGCAGACAUUUUCAGGUGUUAAGAGAUACAUAAUUGCAUACAAAAUUGUGUCAUAGCACAAUACUAUAGUUUCAAGAUGGCAUUUCUAUCAUGACAGGUUGACUGAUUGCGCCCAAGUGAUUCCAAAUUAAGCACCACUCAACAGUUCACUAUAUUUGAUCACUUUUCAAAGGUUUUUUUACACUUUGGUGGAAGCCAUGGAAGACACCUAGAUGGAAAAAUUUUUACUCCACACGAUAUAAUUUGACAUGGACUAUUGUCAUAGAUUAAUACUUAAUUAUUUAUUAUUUUAUAUCCCAUACUAAAAGGUUUAGAAGUCAAGGAAUACAUGUAAAUAGCAUACUUUCCAACUUAAGAAUAGUCAUGUUUGUCAACCAUGUGCUCACUGUGUGGAAAAUGACAGAUCUAGCGAUAAUUAAAACUGUGAAAUAAAGAUGAAAAGUGGAAAAAUUUGAUGUUCACGGGCAUUUCUUCAACUCAACCAUCAAAUGAAAACAAACAAUUCAUGGACAAAUAAAUACUUUAGUUUUACAUUAAAUAAUUUUUCAGGUGAAACAAUAAUAAAACCUCCGGUUUAAGCGAACAAAAUGUUAUCAACGUCAGGUAAAUGAAAACACGAUAAACGUUUGCGUUAUGUCAACGAACAAAUUGAUAAUUUUUGAAUUUCUUUAAAGCACUCUGAACACGUCGAUCAAUUUGGACUAAUGUCGUGCUGGAAUCUGUAAAGGUAGCUUCUAAAGCCCCCACGUUCACUUAGUAUUUGGGUUAGAUGAAAAUUCAGGUCUCCAUGUCAUUCGUCGAUCCACGAAUGGAUGUCCGGUAUCAGUCUUUGGGUCCACCGUCCUUUGAGUAAGACGGCUCUGAUAACUUGCAUCAAUCUGGAUAUUACUUCAGCAGCGUCACUUGAUAUUGUUCGAAAAGCACUGAUUGUAAUCUUAGUACCAACGGCCAGUGGACUGUGCUUAUUUGUGUGUUAUAUGCUUUAAUGCCUAGCGCCUGCAUCCAUAUGGAGUCGCAUACAAUACAACCGAUCUCAUUACCUUUGUGAGCGAAAAUCGCCGGCUGGACACAUACGCAGCUUUUAUUUGCCAUUAUUCUUCAUAAGGCGUUUAGGAUUUUAUUCGCUUUACCUGCAGUGUACUCUGAGCCUUCUCAGCCAAUUCUAAACUCAUUGAGAAGAACCAUUGGCGAAGAUCGUUUAUACACUCGUAGGGUGUAGUUAUAAUAUUUGAUUUGCUUGAAGAAGGGGAAAAGCGGCAUUACAUGUAGCUAAAUUUAGUGUUAAGACAUAUUUUUCAAAUGUGUAUUGAACUAAAAAUGUUUUGAUGAAAAAAAAAAAAAUUUGCAACAGAUUUGGUAGGCAUUUUGGUACCCAAAGGUUUUCUCAAGUGCAAACACUGAUCAUGACAGUUCCAUAACCCUAAUAACUAAGUAUUGCGAAAUAAAUUCACUUUGUCAUUUCAUUUAUUUAUGGUCUUACAAAUAACUGUUGGCUCUGUAAGACUAUUUCACUAUUUGCAAAAUGAUAACCUCAUUUUCGUAUAUAAAGCGAAAAAUCUCCUAUUUUCUAUUGUAAAAA